rnacentral:rRNA from 1 species
GGCGAGUGAAGCGGCAACAGCUCAAAUUUGAAAUCUGGCUCUCUUUGGGGGUCCGAGUUGUAAUUUGCAGAGGAUGCUUUGGCAUUGGCGGCGGUCUAAGUUCCUUGGAACAGGACAUCGCARAGGGUGAGAAUCCCGUACGUGGGCGCCUGCCUUUGCCGUGUAAAGCUCCUUCGACGAGUCGAGUUGUUUGGGAAUGCAGCUCUAAAUGGGAGGUAAAUUUCUUCUAAAGCUAAAUACCGGCCAGAGACCGAUAGCGCACAAGUAGAGUGAUCGAAAGAUGAAAAGUACUUUGGAAAGAGAGUCAAAAAGCACGUGAAAUUGUUGAAAGGGAAGCGCUUGCAGCCAGACUUGCCCGCAGUUGCUCACCUAGGCUUUGGCCUGGGGCACUCUUCUGCGGGCAGGCCAGCAUCAGUUUGGGCGGUCGGACAAAGGCCUCUGUCAAGUAUCUCCCUUCGGGGUGA